rnacentral:rRNA from 1 species
CAAUAGCGUAUAUUAAAGUUGUUGCAGUUAAAAAGCUCGUAGUUGGAUCUCGGGUACUAGCAUGUGGUACGCUUUACUGCUGUUACUACAUGUCUGGUCCUAAUCAAUCGGUUGGCCGUUGAUGCCCUUCAUUGGGUGUUUUCGGUAGCCGGUACGUUUACUUUGAGAAAAUUAGAGUGCUUAAAGCAGGCUAUACGCCUGUAUAAUGUUGCAUGGAAUAAUAGAAUAGGACCUCGGUUUUAUUUUGUUGGUUUUGUAGAGCAUUGAGGUAAUGAUUAAUAGGGACAGACGGGGGCAUUCGUACUGCGGUGUUAGAGGUGAAAUUCUUGGAUCGCCGCAGGACGAACAACUGCGAAAGCAUUUGCCAAGAAUGUUUUCAUUAAUCAAGAACGAAAGUUGGAGGUUCGAAGACGAUUAGAUACCGUCCUAGUUCCAACCAUAAACGAUGCCAACUAGCAAUUAGCUGCUGUUAAUUAAACGACACAGCUAGCGGCUUCCGGGAAACCAAAGUUUUUGGGUUCCGGGGGAAGUAUGGUUGCAAAGCUGAAACUUAAAGGAAUUGACGGAAGGGCACCACCAGGAGUGGAGCCUGCGGCUUAAUUCGACUCAAC